ACAGUUUCACUCUCAACAUU
rnacentral:siRNA from 1 species